UACGUAGGGUGCAAGCGUUGUCCGGAAUUAUUGGGCGUAAAGAGCUCGUAGGCGGUUUGUCGCGUCUGCUGUGAAAACCCGAGGCUCAACCUCGGGCCUGCAGUGGGUACGGGCAGACUAGAGUGCGGUAGGGGAGAUUGGAAUUCCUGGUGUAGCGGUGGAAUGCGCAGAUAUCAGGAGGAACACCAAUGGCGAAGGUAGAUCUCUGGGCCGUAACUGACGCUGAGGAGCGAAAGCAUGGGGAGCGAACAGG
rnacentral:rRNA from 1 species